GAUGAACGCUGGCGGCGUGCCUAAUACAUGCAAGUCGAACGCUGAAGGAGGAGCUUGCUCUUCUGGAUGAGUUGCGAACGGGUGAGUAACGCGUAGGUAACCUGCCUGGUAGCGGGGGAUAACUAUUGGAAACGAUAGCUAAUACCGCAUGACAACAGUUAUUGCAUGAUAACUGUUUAAAAGGGGCAACUGCUCCACUACCAGAUGGACCUGCGUUGUAUUAGCUAGUUGGUGAGGUAACGGCUCACCAAGGCGACGAUACAUAGCCGACCGGAGAGGGGGAUCGGCCACACUGGGACGGAGACACGGCCCAGACGCCUACGGGAGGCAGCAGUAGGGAAUCUUCGGCAAUGGACGGAAGUCUGACCGAGCAACGCCGCGUGAGGGAAGAAGGUUGUCGGAUCGGAAAGCUCUGUUGCAAGAGAAGAACGAGUGUGAGAGUGGAAAGUUCACACUGUGACGGUAUCUUACCAGAAAGGGACGGCUAACUACGUG
rnacentral:rRNA from 1 species